GACUGUGGGCCCGCUGCCGUCUCACCGUAGAGGAAGAAGAUGCCGCUCGUAGUCUGGCCCCGCGAGUCGCCCUCGUGGCACAGGAUCCUCAGCCCCAUCACCAAACCCACGAUGCCGCCAACACCAUGCAAGCACCCGUCACCGCCAGCAUGGCUGGGGAGAGGGGCCGCCUCAGCCCCGCGCUGGCGCCUCCCCGGGCCAACGCCCCGACCCGCCGCCCCCAGCAGGCCUCUCCAGGUCCCGGAGCGGUAGUCACCUGUACAGAGACAGAGGACAGCUGAAACCCAGCCCAGGUAGAACGACCAGGAGAAGAAGGUCUGGAUCUGAGGGUGUCGAGGCUGGUUCCACCGCUCGCUGGUGUAGACCGCCAUGGCCACCACAGCAAAAAUGGCUGGGGAUGAAGAUGAGAGAGGGCUCAGCCCCUCUGCGGGAACUCACCGGUCCCCAGAGCCCAAGUGCAGCCCAGAGCCUACCUGCAGCAAAAGCCAUGAUAGAGGAGGAGAGGGGCCCGUAGCCUCGAACGGACAGUGAGGGGAUGUAGGACAAGAUCAGGAAGAUCACCGACACCAGCCCCGACAGCGCGGCCAGAAUGCUGAGGCUCUGCGUGGCGCGGAUGAAGCCUGCUCCGAGAGCCCCGAGUGAGACGAGAAGGUGGGCCCCACGGCCACGAACCAGAAAUCUGUGCUCAGAGCAAUCAGGAUGGUCACCAAGCCCAGGGAACCAGUGACGAGGGCCAAGGACCGACAGAGCUCCAUCGAGGUCCUAGACAGAGCCUCGCCUCACCGAUGAGCAGGAAGAAGGCGAAGGUAUCGCAGCCCAGGUGGAAGGUGCAGGCUCAUGUGACUUCCAAAUCAGGGGAAUGGCCUAGAAGAAGACCUCUGUCACAAAGAUGACAUGAGCCAGCAGUCCCACAGCAGCCAGUGAAGGGGAGACUCAGAGGGACUCAAGAGGCUGUGGCCUCUUCCGUUACUGGAGUCUCCAGUUUGCAGGCCCCCAUCUCUCACCCAGACCCUCACCACCGAGGUAACUGGCCACUCCUGAGAAUGUGCUCAUGAAUGCAGGCUCCCAGAAGCAGCAGGGGCACCAACGCAAAAAUGGCGGUAUGUGUAGCUCUAGUGGAGAGCAGCGGACAGGCUUCAGGAAUCCCGGCCAAGGGAGUGUCAGAGCCCAGAGGUCACCUGCAAUCUCUACCCCACCCUUAACUCCACCCCUGUCCUCCAACACAACCCCCUUCUUAUCCCCAGACGUAAUUCCAAACUCAGCCCCAUUCCUAACCUCAUCUCCAACCCAAACCCAGCCCUGUCCCUAACCCAGCUCUACCCACAAAUUCAACCCCGUCCUGAUUCCUAAACCAAACCCUGUUUUCAUUGCCAAGACCGGCUCUAAACCCAGUCCCAUCUCCAACCCCAAAUACAACCCACUCCUUAACCCCAGAUCCAACCUCUAAUUUAACCCCAUCCUCCAAACUAACCUGACCUCCAUCUUCUUAUUCACAAACUCAGCCCCAACCCCAUGUCCAAAUCCAAGUUCAGCCCCAAACUCAAACCCAUCCUCAUUCCGAGACUUAAUGCUAACCUCGUUUGGAACUUCACGCCAGAUAACACCUCCAGCGCCACCCCCACCUUCCUCGCACUCUGUCCCACCCUCUAUAAUUCCGACCUCAACCCUACUCAUAUUCAUCUCAAUCCCAUCUGUUUCAUCCCCCCUCACACACACACACACUGUAAAGAAUGGACUAUG